rnacentral:rRNA from 1 species
UUUGAAAUUUAUAUUUUAGUAAAAAAGCUAAAAUUAUUUAUAGGGACGAGAAGACCCUAUCAAGUUUUACAAUCUAAAAUUUAUUUUCAAAUUAAAUUUAAAAUUGUUUUGCUGGGGCAGCAGAUAAAAAGUUUUUAUUUAAAAAUUAUGAUAAAUAAAUCUUGAAAAAUCAAAAAAUUUUUAAUUAAAAAUAAAUUACUGUAGGGAUAACAGCAUAAUUUUUUUAGAGAGUUCUUAUCAUCAAAAAAGUUUGUGACCUCGAUGUUGGAUUAAAAUUCCUAAUUCGUGCAAUAAUGAAAUAA